rnacentral:rRNA from 1 species
GACGAACGCUGGCGGCGUGCUUAACACAUGCAAGUCGAGCGAUGAAGCACCUUCGGGUGUGAAUUAGCGGCGAACGGGUGAGGAACACGUGAGAAAUCUGCCUUCAACACUGGGAUAACUCCGGGAAACCGGGGCUAAUACCGGAUUUGAAACCUGCGGGCAUCCGCGGGUUUGGAAAGUUUUUCGGUUGAAGAUGAUCUCGCGGCCUAUCAGCUUGUUGGUGAGGUAAUGGCUCACCAAGGCGACGACGGGUAGCCGGCCUGAGAGGGCGACCGACCACACUGGGACUGAGACACGGGCCAGACUCCUACGGAAGGCAGCAGUGGGGAAUAUUGGGCAAGGGAGGAAACUCUGACCCAGCGACGCCGCGUGCGGGAUGAAGGCCUUCGGGUUGUAAACCGCUUUCAGCAGGGAAGAAGCGAAAGUGACGGUACCUGCAGAAGAAGCACCGGCUAACUAUGUGCCAGCAGCCGCCGUAA